UACGAAGGGGGCUAGCGUUGUUCGGAAUCACUGGGCGUAAAGGGCGCGUAGGCGGCUUUAUAAGUCGGGGGUGAAAGCCUGUGGCUCAACCACAGAAUUGCCUUCGAUACUGUAGAGCUUGAGACCGGAAGAGGUAAGUGGAACUGCGAGUGUAGAGGUGAAAUUCGUAGAUAUUCGCAAGAACACCAGUGGCGGAAGGCGGCUCACUGGCCCGGUACUGGACGC
rnacentral:rRNA from 1 species